AAGUCGUAACAAGGUUUCCGUAGGUGAACCUGCGGAAGGAUCAUUAACACAAUUUUGAUUCAAAUCUCUUUGCUUCGCUGUCUUUUUUUUCUAGAUGCAAGAAAUUGCAGCUAGAGAAGGAGCAACAAGCAAUUAACCCACUUUCUAUGACGAAAAAUCUUUACAAAAGAAUGGAAGAAAAAGGAAUGUGUUUCGUCACAAUCCGUUUCAACCGUUUUUUCCUUUACCCAAUUUUUUUUACCCCUUUUACAACCUGUAAUAGACUGAAAACAAAAAUCAUAUUCUAGAUCUCUAGAAUCUAAAACUAAGAAAACAACUCUUAGCAACGGAUAUCUAGGUUCUC
rnacentral:misc_RNA from 1 species